AUUAAAGCUCCCUUCAACUCACGCAUACACUGAACUACCAACCCGCAACGAAGAGAAACGUCAAACUGAAAAAUAUUCGAAGUGAUGUGUCGUGUGUUGUGUACAUUGGAAACAAUACAGGCUGAAACAGACCCACCAAAAACCAAAACAAAUCUACUUAGAUGGAGGCUGGGAUGUUUCCGCGCGGCACUGGACGGUUUUGGACGGACGGAUUAUUGACAAUUGAAGCGGACUAUAAUGAUGAUUCGAAUGAUGUCGCAUGCAGCUGGACUGGAAGUAAAUAUGGACUUCGGCACGAUACCGGAACGAUUUGGCGGGACAAACGCCGGACGGACUGCUGCCUUGGUGACUCGGAAUUGCCUCAAACGGCUUAUUUGAAGGCAGCUAUAAAGGAUGUUGAGAAGGAAAGUUGACUUCCAAUUCAAGGUAAGUGUGUGAACAAAUUCUAAUGUUUCCUUUUUCUUUUUAGGAACAAUCGGACGGCGGAACCCAAGAUGUCAAUCAACCCCGAAGGAUGACCCCAAUAUGAACCCACAUUUAACAUAAACUCCCAUAUUAAACAUUAACCCACUAAAUCCCAAAACUUUUAUAUAAAUUGUGAUAAAUAAAUACACUUAAAUAAAUAACAAAGAAAAUAAAUAAUAAUUAACACAACAUGAAUAUAAGCAAAUAUACGAUAAUUUUAAGUACUAACAUAGAUAUAAGGAAACAUUGUGAACUACAAACUAACAUUACUUAUAUCCGAAAAAUAGUAUUUACAAAAAAUUUAAUCAUUGGGUUAUCGUGCAAAGGCACAAUCCCCUUUCUUCUUCCACCCACCAGUCUUGUAUAGGCUGUUAACAAGGUAUGUGCAUUCCGAUGCAAUACAACCUGUGUUUUUUUCAAACAUGGUUAAAUUUCCAGGAACACUUUCGAUUUCUUUAAAUUGCAACGCUAUUCAGCUAAAGCAAUUUGUUACUGACAGCUCGAUUAACUCGGGUUUGCUCAACAUCGUCUGUAGGACUUCUGAGUGUUAUUUUACGAUCAACGUUUAAGAUUCCCUCGUCUUAAACUCACGCUUUGUUGCUUCUCGCUGAAUUUUCGCGGUACUCCUCAUCAACGCACUGGUGGCUCCAAGUUCUUGGUUUUAUAGGUCAUCGUCCUGAUGAAAUCAAGGACUCGCUCUGUCUUCAGGUCGAGGGGAACUUGUUCGUUCAGUAACAAAUGUUUUAUACCCAAGAGUGCUGCAACUCAAGGAGAUCUAAAAUGACCAUAAUCCAACACGUUCUUCUUGAGCUAGAAUGAAGAUCUUAGCAACAAGGUUGCCCCCAGUAAAUAAACGUUGUUGUGGGGGUGCACUGUCUGAAGGACAGUGCUAACUUUACGAACUGCGGUACAGUAUUUUCUGCAACCAGAGCAAAAGCAUCAUGAUGCGUUGUCUCAAUCAGUAAAUACUGAGAGAUACAUAGCUUGACUUCUAUUCGAUCAACGAAUGAUCGAUGUCUAUAAAGCGGAACUUGAAUGGGUAAGUUUCUUGAGAAACUUGCAGUUGAAAAUUCCCAGUCUCUUUCCCUUCAAGUCCUCAAGGUCAUAACAGUGAGUUCCUACUACCCUUUUUACUACGGCUGGCACAUACUUGGGGGCCAACUUUGCAGAAAAUUCCUUGCCUUUGUCCGAUUGUUCCAUUGUUUUUCUUCAGAACCUUCUCACCCACAAAGUAAGUUGGACAAUUGGCAUUGGAGCGAAGGUUAUAGUAGGACGAGUGAGCACCUUUCGUCUGUCCGCGACGACCGUUGUUCACCUUGCGAGUAGUGAACCUGUGUUCUGCAAGACGAUCUAGCAUGCUGCUAGGACUAUUUCCGCGUUUCGCCAUCUGCAUUCCUUGUUCUACCUCCGUUUUCAACGUGAAAACCGUCUCUGCUGCGCUUCUGCUUUCCGAUGGCUUAUUUGUGAUGCAAACUUGCUCGACAUCAUUCGUUCCACCUAUCAUUGGCUCAAUUCCGAACAAUUGCCAGAAGUUAUAGCCCAGAAUCAGGUUUCUACAAAUCUGUGGAAUUACCAGUGUUGGUACCACCUUUGUAACUCCUCGGAACGUAAUCGGUAGUUGAACAUAGCCUAAGCAUGGAUGCACUGUACUAUCUGCUGUAAUUAUCUUAAGAGGACUUGGCUCUAUGUUCAAACCGUUUUUCUGCAUCACGUCUGUCAUAUUAGUUACACUGAUGCUUGUACCCGAGUCUAGCAAUGCUUCGUAUUUUGUUUUGAAUAAACUAACUGCAACGUGCGGGCAACUUCCACUACGAAUGCUCACCUCACAUACUUCCUUGAACUCUGUUUUUCUGGGAACAUUUUUAGUCACAGGAGUGCCGUCGUUCCCUCUUCUGCACCCCUGAUUUAGUUUCCCGAUGGAUUAGCUGUUUUCGAGUGAUCAAAUCGUGAAUGAUUCUCGCAUGUUACUGUUGUUUUACCGGGCGUUCCGCAAAUGUAGCAAAACAACUGCUUCUGCCUGUAUGCAGUUUCGCCAGACAUGUCCCGUUCUGCGGCAGUUCCAGCAAAGGGGACCAUUUUGCUGUUCGACUGUUGGUGCGGCACUGGUGGUUUGCUGAGUUCGCGAUAACGAUUUGAACUCCUUUGCACGCCGAUCAUCAUUGAAUCUCUUUCCUAGCACGUUCACUUCCUCUGCUUCGAAGUAGGAUCCCGUCGACUCUUCGGCCUCGAUAUUCGGCCCUAUUCUGCGCGGCGAGUGAGGUGACUCGCGGCGAGUCACUUGAGUCGCGCGAUUCUGACAGGCGAAUGCAGUGAGAGAAGUCACUUCGGAUGAACACCGAUGAACUCUCACCUUAUUCUCGCAGUCGCAACUGAGUGACAAGAGUCGAUGCGCCGUGACUUUUCGAGUCGCUACCUGUGAGUCAAGUGACAGAAGUGCCGGGCUGAAGAAAAAUUUAAAUUUGUUUAUGAUCAACGCAAAAUUCGGUCGAAGUUUUGUAAUUUUAUUAGUGUUAACGAAAACCUGGUAGUGAAAACUGUUUUUCAGGCCAAGAAAUGAUAAAGGAAGUUGUUUCUUUAUCGGCUGGAAAAGCGAAGAUUUGGACAGAUGGCAUAAUGGAGGCGAAAAGGUCGAAGCUUACGAACCGGAAAUAGAUGGAAUAUUUGUUGGCGCUUUUACUGACGCAUAGCAGCAGGAACUUUCGGACUACCUUCUCCAGAAUCUACAGCGAGGACUAAUGAAUCGCCCCCGUUUUUUACCAUUCCGCCACACACCAGCUUUACGCGGAAGAGCGUGCCGGAGGAAUUUUUAAUGAUGCACGCGGAAUAUUUAAUAAAAUCAAAAGCAAAAGGGAAAAAUAAUUUAAAUAGAAAGCGUAAAAUAACUUGUAGUGAAAAAAGGAAAUAAACAUUUGCAGUUACAUA